GAUGAACGCUGGCGGCGUGCCUAAUACAUGCAAGUCGAGCGAACAGACGAGGAGCUUGCUCCUCUGACGUUAGCGGCGGACGGGUGAGUAACACGUGGAUAACCUACCUAUAAGACUGGGAUAACUUCGGGAAACCGGAGCUAAUACCGGAUAAUAUAUUGAACCGCAUGGUUCAAUAGUGAAAGACGGUUUUGCUGUCACUUAUAGAUGGAUCCGCGCCGCAUUAGCUAGUUGGUAAGGUAACGGCUUACCAAGGCGACGAUGCGUAGCCGACCUGAGAGGGUGAUCGGCCACACUGGAACUGAGACACGGUCCAGACUCCUACGGGAGGCAGCAGUAGGCAAUCUUCCGCAAUGGGCGAAAGCCUGACGGAGCAACGCCGCGUGAGUGAUGAAGGUCUUCGGAUCGUAAAACUCUGUUAUUAGGGAAGAACAAAUGUGUAAGUAACUAUGCACGUCUUGACGGUACCUAAUCAGAAAGCCACGGCUAACUACGUG
rnacentral:rRNA from 1 species